rnacentral:rRNA from 1 species
AUUGAACGCUGGCGGCAUGCUUUACACAUGCAAGUCGAACGGUAACAGGCCGCAAGGUGCUGACGAGUGGCGCACGGGUGAGUAAUGCAUCGGAACGUGCCCAGUCGUGGGGGAUAACUACUCGAAAGAGUAGCUAAUACCGCAUACGAUCUAUGGUUGAAAGCGGGGGACCGUAAUGCCUCGCGCGAUUGGAGCGGCCGAUGUCAGAUUAGGUAGUUGGUGGGGUAAAGGCUCACCAAGCCAACGAUCUGUAGCUGGUCUGAGAGGACGACCAGCCACACUGGGACUGAGACACGGCCCAGACUCCUACGGGAGGCAGCAGUGGGGAAUUUUGGACAAUGGGCGCAAGCCUGAUCCAGCAAUGCCGCGUGCAGGAAGAAGGCCUUCGGGUUGUAAAAUGCUUUUGUACGGAACGAAACGGCUCUGGUUAAUACCCGGGGCUAAUGACGGUACCGUAAGAAUAAGCACCGGCUAACUACGUG